GUAGCCCCCAACGAAAGCAAAAAGGAGUUUUGGGUUCCAUCUACAUAAAAUGAAGAUGAUAAAGCUCUGAUUGGGCUCAUUUCCAAUUGUUGUAGUUUGACUUCUUUGUGAAAGUGGCAGUCCAUGUAACAUGUGGUAAGAUGACAUGCAAGAGGAUGGGGAUGGGGCAAUGGACAGGCGAGCCAAAGAUGCAUAGCUGCAAUUCUGGGCGCUGCAUCUCCCAUUUGUCCCUGGCCACUGAGCAUGCUGGCUGAAGCUGAUGGGAGUCCUAGUCCUGCGACUUUUGGAGGACCCCAGGUUCCCCACCCCAGCCAGCCAGAGUGAGGUGGCAGGUGCAGGUAGCUUGAUUCUGGACUGUGUCACUUCCAUUGGUAGGCAUGACAUCAUAUUUUUUGAAUGCUCUUAACAAAAUACCUCCCUUCCUGUGUAAGCAUAUAUGAGAUGCGCGAACCCUAUGCGCGCGCAGAGUCGCUCUCUCCUGCGAGGGAGAAGGCCGGCCCCCACCUUCGCGCGUGUUGCUGUUGUGGUCGUGCGUGAGGAAGGGGCGGCAAGCUGCAGUUCCUCGCCCACGAGAGGCUCCGUUUGGCUUCCGCAGCCCACCCGCACCAUCCCUCCACAAAGGGGCACGAGAGGAAGGCCACUGGGGGAGAAAGGCAGUCUCUUCCUGGUUUCUGAUUUUCCCAGUCAAUUUCCAAUUUCGCCAUGUCAACCAUUCAUCUCUGCUCAGGACUUUAUCUUCUUUGCAAUAGUAUCCACACUGCUGUCAUCGCCUACAUAAAUAGUCAUUUCUGCUCCUUUGGAAUUUCUGCACCUAAAAUACCUGGUGUUAUGUAUUGAAGUUCUCACCCUGGCCACCUGGAGUAUCGUGUAUAGUAUAUAGUUUUCACACAGAUCCACAUCAGUUACUUUAGGCGGGAAACCCUGGGUUGUUGUUGCUACAAUGUUGACAGCCGGCUGCCUAUAAAAGCAGGCCGGCUGAGCUGUUUGCUAUUCUGUUCUGUUCCAGCUUACAAAUAAAGAGCUGCUUUGGAGAAAUUGCUGUGUUGUCUGCUAUGUCUACCCACUAUUUAACACCUAAUAAAAGACUCUGGAUUUUUCGCAAACGUUACUUUAAACAUUUUUUUCAAUUUAUUAUAAAUCAUUUCUCAGAA